AAUGAACGUUGGCGGCGUGGAUUAGGCAUGCAAGUCGAGCGAGAACCGGUUUCGGCCGGGGACAGCGGCGAAAGGGAGAGGACAACAUGGGAAUCUGCCCUGGGGACGAGGAUAGCGUCGGGAAACUGACGGUAAUACUCGAUAAUGUUUGCGGACCCAAGGUGAGAUUCCGCCCCAGGAUGAGCCCAUGCCCCAUUAGCUAGUUGGCAGGGUAACGGCCUACCAAGGCUAUGAUGGGUAGCUGGUGUGAGAGCAUGACCAGCCUCACUGGCACUGAGACACUGGCCAGACACCUACGGGUGGCUGCAGUCGAGAAUCUUCGGCAAUGGACGAAAGUCUGACCGAGCGACGCCGCGUGCGGGAUGAAGGCCUUCGGGUUGUAAACCGCUGUCGUAGGGGAUCAAAUGUACGAGGGUUCUCCCUUGUAUUUGAGAGAUCCUAGGAGGAAGGAGAGGCUAAGCUCGUGC
rnacentral:rRNA from 1 species